CCUACGGGUGGCAGCAGUGAGGAAUAUUGGUCAAUGGCCGAAAGGCUGAACCAGCCAAGUCGCGUGAGGGAAGACGGCCCUACGGGUUGUAAACCUCUUUUGUCGGGGAGCAAAGCGAACCACGUGUGCUUCAUUGAGCGUACCCGAAGAAAAAGCAUCGGCUAACUCCGUGCCAGCAGCCGCGGUAAUACGGAGGAUGCGAGCGUUAUCCGGAUUUAUUGGGUUUAAAGGGUGCGCAGGCGGAGGUGCAAGUCAGCGGUCAAAUUGCGGGGCUCAACCCCGUACUGCCGUUGAAACUGCAUGUCUGGAGUGGGCGAGAAGUAUGCGGAAUGCGUGGUGUAGCGGUGAAAUGCAUAGAUAUCACGCAGAACUCCGAUUGCGAAGGCAGCAUACCGGCGCGCAACUGACGCUCAGGCACGAAAGCGUGGGUAUCGAACAGGAUUAGAUACCCCUGUAGUC
rnacentral:rRNA from 1 species